CAAGAAGCUGCAGGGGACAAUGCUGGAAUAUCUGGAUUACAACAACAUCAUAAUGAUGGGAGACAUGAACGGGGUCGUGUCAACUAACAUGGACAAGUCACAAAGUCAAAAUGUUACAAAAGACGGCAGACUACCUAAAACUUUUUUGAAAUGACUGACAAUAUGGAUUUGAUUGACAUUUGGAGGACAAAGAACCCACUAGGUAGAGAAGGAACAUUCUUUUCUGAAGCCCAACUGACCUGGACAAGAAUCGACCAAAUAUGGAUUUCCAGAGGCCUGGCACCUAAGGUCAGAAAAGUGGAAAUCUGCCCAAAGACCUGCUCUGACCAUAAUGCAGUAAAGAUGGAUAUGACACUACUACCAACUGGAUCCUUUAGAUGGAAGAUGAAUGACAAUUUGUUUAGAGAUCAGGAAAUUACCAAGAAGGCCCAAAAAGUUUUGAAGGACUAUUUUGAGAUAAACAUGAACAAUUCGGUGGAAAAAGAAUUGUCUGGGACGCAAGCAAAGCUGUAAUGAGGGGAUUCUUGAUACAACAGAAUGUAGUAAAGAAAAGAACACAAAAUGAGAAAAAGAUAAGAUCUUGGACAAAUUAAAAGAAUUAGAGAAGAAAUUAAGAGCGAAUCCAAAGUCACAGCCAACUCUGAGAGAAAUUAAACUCUAUCAAACACAAUAUUCUAAAUUGAUAAAUCAGGAAAUUGAAUGGAAGGUUAAAUUAAUGAAACAAAAACGUUUGAGUCGGCGAAUAAAUGUGGAAAACUGCUAGCUUGGCAGUUGAAGAGAAGACAAAGAUUAAACACGGUUACAAACUUAGAGGUUGAUGGAAAAACAUUCAGAAUCCAGUGGAUAUUAGAAAGUGUUUCCAGAGAUAUUUUAAAAAAUUAUACACCCAAGGGCCGCAAGACGAAGUUGAGAUUAAACAAUUUUUGGCAAAAAUGGAUUAUCUAAAUUGUCACAAGAAAACAGGACAAUCCUGAACUCUAAAAUAACACGACAGGAGAUUGAACAAGCUAUUCAGAACAUGCAACUUGGCAAAUCUCCAGGGCCAGAUGGGCUGACCUCCAAGUAUUAUAAGACAUUAAAAGACUAUUUGAUACAACCCUUGAUGGAGGUCUGCAAUGAAAUUAUGGAGGGGAAGAGGGCACCGGAUUCGUGGAAGGAAGCGUUCAUCACAUUAAUACCAAAGUCAGAAGCUGAAAAGACACAACUGAAGAACUACCGUCCCAUCUCUCUUUUAAAUGUGGAUUACAAAAUAUUUGCAGAUAUUUUGGCAAGUAGAUUUAAAAAGUAUUAAAUGAAGUAAUUCAUAAGGACCAGGCCGGUUUUCUCCCAGGUAGACAUCUGUUUGCUAACACAAGGAACAUUAUUGACAUCUUGGAACUUCUGCAAACAGAUAUAAAUACAAAAGCAGUUUUAAUUUUCAUAGAUGCGGAGAAGGCCUUUGACAAUAUUUCCUGGAAAUUUAUGAUGGGAAAUUUAAAAGAGAUGGGAGUGGGACGGGGUUUUGAGAAUGGGAUUGAGGCGAUAUAUUCAGAACAGAAAGCUAAACUGAUAGUUAAUAAUGUGGUCACAGAAGAGUUCAAAAUUGAAAAAGGGACACGACAAGGUUGCCCUAUCUCCCCUUUGUUAUUUAUUUCGGUUCUGGAAGUGCUACUGAACAUGAUUAGAGGGGAUCGGUUGGUUGAAGGAAUUCAGGUUGGUCAGAAACAAUAUAAACUAAAAGCUUUUGCAGAUGACCUGGUUUUGACCCUGCAGAAGCCAGAGCCCAGUACGAAAAGAGUAUUACAAUUGAUUAAUGAUUUUGGUCGGGUGGCGGGAUUUAAAUUAAAUAAACAGAAAACUAAGGUUUUGGGGAAAAAUUUGACUGAUACAGAGUCAGAACGGUUUCAGAAUGAGACGGAACUUAAUGUGGUUAAAAAGUAAAAUACCUAGGGGUAAACAUAACAGCAAAAAUCUAAGUCUAUUUAAGGAUAACUAUGAAAAAUGUUGGACAGAAAUUAAGAGAGACUUAGACAGUUGGUCAAAAUUGAAACUUUCUUUGUUAGGCCGAAUUGCUGCUAUUAAGAUGAAUGUAUUGCCAAGGAUGUUGUUUUUAUUUCAAACACUUCAGGUUUUGGACAAAACGGAGUGCUUUCAGAAGUGGCAGAGAGAUAUUUCGAAGUUUGUCUGGCAGGGCAAAAAGCCCAGAAUCAAGUUUAAGAUAUUAACUGAUGCAAAACAAAGAGGGGCUUUGCCCUGCCGGACUUAAAGUUGUAUUAUGAAGCCGCAGCGUUCUGCUGGCUAAAAGACUGGCUACUUCUUGAAGACACUGAUGUGUUGGAUUUGGAAGGGUUUAAUAAUGUUUUUGGAUGGCAUGCAUAUUUAUGGUAUGACAAAGUUAAAGCAAAUAAGGCCUUCAAGAACCAUAUUGUCAGAAAAUCAUUGUUUAAUGUCUGGACAAAAUAUAAAGACUUGCUGGAAAAUAAAACACCAAGGUGGCUUUCACCUUUGGAAGCUAAGGCCCGAAAAAGACCCAAUAUGGAGGCUAAAUGGCCAAAAUAUUGGGAAAUACUAGAAAAGAUUGAGACAAUUGGAAAUUGCAGAGUUUGGAGAAAAUGAAAGACAAAGUGCGAGAUUGGUUACAUUACGCUCAGAUUAAAGAAGUUUUUAAAAAUGAUAAGAAACUAGGGUUCCAGGUGGAGAAAUCGAAAUUAGAAACAGAAUUGUUAGAACCAAAGACUAAGGUACUUUCAAGGAUGUAUAACUUGCUGUUGGAAUGGAAUACACAAGAUGAAAUGGUUAAAUCGGCUAUGAUAAGGUGGGCACAGGACAUUGGGUAUAAUAUUAUGUUUGAGGACUGGGAAAAGUUGUGGAGUAAUGGAUUGAAAUUUACUGCAUGUAACGCUCUGAAAGAAAAUGUAAUGAAAAUGAUUUAUAGAUGGUAUAUGACCCCAGUUAAACUUGCAAAAAUUUACCACCUGUCUGAUAAUAAGUGUUGGAAAUGUAAAGAGUGUGAGGGAACGUUCUUCCACCUCUGGUGGACCUGCCCUAAAGUGAAGGCGUUCUGGGAAAUGAUUUAUAAUGAAUUGAAAAAGGUAUUUAAAUAUACCUUUACCAAGAAACCAGAGGCUUUCCUUCUGGGUAUUGUCAGCCAAGGGGUGGCAAAGAAGGACCAGACAUUUUUUAUGUAUGCAACAACAGCAGCAAGGAUACUUCUUGCAAAACAUUGGAAAACUCAAGAUUUACCCACACUGGAAGAAUGGCAGAUGCAACUGAUAGACUACAUGGAACUGGCUGAAAUGACCGGCAGAAUCCGUGACCUGGGAGAAGAGAGAAUCGAGGAGGAUUGGAAGAAAUUUAAGAACUAUCUACAAAAAUAUUGUGAUUUGAGUGAAUGCUAAAUAAGAUGCUAGACUAAAUAACUGAGCACCACUUAACUUAGAAGUUUUUAAGAAAAUAAGUAAGACUGUGAAAGUUUAACUCUCUAUGAGAACUAUAAGAUUAUGAAACAUUGAAGAGAUAUAAGAAUUUAAAUAAGAUGAUAAAUUGCUGACAAAAUGUUAUAACGAUGAAAGUGGGAGCGGGGGAUGUGAGGAAGUCCAAAGAAAAUGUGAAACUAUGUUAAGACAAAUGUUAUAUUGUUUAUUAUGUUUAUUCUUAUUGUAAAACCCAAUAAAUUGCUUUAAAAAAAAAAAAAAAGA